GCGGCUGUGGAAGUCAAGCACCCUUUGAGAACAUGUAUGACAAUGUUUUGGUGGCCCUAUUGCUGAUCACUGGCAUAGCUUGCUACAGCUAAGUUUUUUUUUUAUCUACAAGUACCGGCAGGACCUUCUUCAUCAAGGAUAUGCCUCCAAACACCAAAGUAAAUAGCAAAUUCUCAAUAAAAAUUUAACAAUUUGAAAAACUCCAUUUGAAAAAAUCUGCUUACAUGUUGCCUAGCACAAAUCCAGUUGACUUCUUCUUGAAUUUAAAAGCUUUUAUAUGCUAAAGUUGUACAUUUGCGUUUUUUUUUUUAUUUCUUUGCAUUUAAUAAAUAUCAGUUAUUUGUGUUUUGGAAGCCAUAA